GUAKGUGCUCGCCCCGUCAUCUUUAUAUUUCCACCUGUGCACUUUUUGUAGAUUUAGAUGUGACUUUCUGAGGCAACUCAGUUGGGAGGAAUGUCAAUUCGUUGGCUUUCCUUGUAUGUCCAAAUCUAUGUUUUUAUAUACUCCAGAAUGUAAUAGAAUGUAUCAAUGGGCCUUGUGCCUAUAAAACUAUAUACAACUUUCAGCAACGGAUCUCUUGGCUCUCGCAUCGAUGAAGAACGCAGCGAAAUGCGAUAAGUAAUGUGAAUUGCAGAAUUCAGUGAAUCAUCGAAUCUUUGAACGCACCUUGCGCCCCUUGGUAUUCCGAGGGGCAUGCCUGUUUGAGUGUCAUUAAAUUCUCAACCUUACUAGCUUUAAUGAGCAAUGUAAUGGCUUGGGAUGUGGGGGUCUUUUUUUUUGCUGGCUUCGAAAGAAAUCAGCUCCCCUAAAAUGUAUUAGCUGGUGCCCCCGUGUGGACUAUCUACUGGUGUGAUAAUUAUCUAUGCCGUUAGAUGUCUGCUUUAAAUAGGGAUGUGCUGCUUCUAAUUGUCCACUUAGGACACUUAUUGACUAUUUGACCUCAAAUCAGGUAGGACUACCCGCUGAACUUAAGCAUAUCAAUAAGCGGAGGAAAAGAAACUAACAAGGAUUCCCCUAGUAACUGCGAGUUGAAGCGGGAAAAGCUCAAAUUUAAAAGCUGACGGUCUUU
rnacentral:rRNA from 1 species